rnacentral:sRNA from 2 species
UUGGCACUUCUGGGAGGCAACAGUUGUAGUGCUUGUGACAAAUCUGCUGCUGACCUGGUCUCUGUUAUGGGACAUUUUCCCCUCACUCAGGAACUGGUCUAGUGGAGGAUUGGGUCCAGCAAAUUGCAUCGGAGCCGCGCUCUCUAUGCCUCGACGCCCGUCAUGGACAGGGCUCAAAUCUGUAGAUUACAAACUACAAUCCUUCACCUGGUUGGGAUCAGCAACCGACAGGGGAAAGCCAACCUUGGAUGGUAAAAGGCACAGCAGCCCCACCACCAUCAGCAGCGAUGACGACGGUUCGGUGCGUUCUUUGCAUAUCAGACAGGAUGUCACCAUAACAGUUCAAUCGGAAGAUUAUCAAGCCGAAGAGUAUAAGGAGAAGAGAGAGCGCGAUCUCCCUCAUAACGACAUCCCGUCCUUACAGGCGACUACCCCGCCGCCUCGGACACCGGCACCAGUGUCUUCUUCCCUUUUCUGUGACGAAUGGGACACACCGCAUACAAUAUCCGCUGAUAGGCGUGUUCACCC